CCCAUCGACAUGAUGAGAUAUUCGGAUGUAAAUUCACAGACCUGUUCUGAAAGCGCAAGCUGUGUGGAUAUUUCCGUUGCCUUCCUUCUGAUCUCAAAU
rfam:Capronia semiimmersa strain CBS 27337 unplaced genomic scaffold supercont1.2, whole genome shotgun sequence.